rnacentral:rRNA from 1 species
UACGAGAGGCCCAAACGUUAUUCGGAUUUACUGGGCUUAAAGAGUUCGUAGGCGGCGCGGAAAGUAGGGUGUGAAAGCCCUCGGCUCAACCGAGGAAUUGCGCUCUAAACUGUCGCGCUCGAGGAACCUAGAGGUGAGCGGAACUGAUGGUGGAGCGGUGAAAUGCGUUGAUAUCAUCAGGAACACCGGAGGCGAAGGCGGCUCACUGGGGGUUAUCUGACGCUGAGGAACGAAAGCCAGGGGAGCAAACGGGAUUAGAAACCCCCGUAGUCC